ensembl:snRNA U1 U1 spliceosomal RNA
GCACUUACCUGGCUGGGGAGACACCGUGGUCAUGAAGGUGGUUUGCCCAUGGCAAGGCUUAUCUAUUGCACUCCUGAUCUGCUGACUCCUGCAGUUUCCUCAAGUGUGAAAAACUUGACCGCAUAAUUUGUGGUUAUGGGCACUGCAUUCAUGCUCUCCCCUU